AGUACUGUAAGUCGGGCACCAGGCGUCGCUGUCCUGACGGCAGCUGAGUCUUUGUGUUUCACAGAUUUACAUUUUAAAGUCUGUAUUAUGGCUGUAUCCGAAUUGCCAAGUACAUACUCAAUCUGUCAGUAGUCAGUACCUACUAUCCGUGCUGUAUACUGUUAGUACCUACUAUUCAGUAGGCACACACAGUAGACAGAUAUUUGUUCCUACUUCUUCUGAUUCAUUCAGUAUGGAAGUGGCGUCAUUUACGUUUCCCGAACCGGCCGCAUCCACCCGUUUUUUUUUUUUAUAAUGCACAUAUACAGUCAGGUAAACAAAAAACAAUAUCACAAUGUAAAUCAAGUAAGAGGCAGAUUAAAUAACUAAAUAACAUACAGUAGCCUUCAUAAAGAAAAGAACAAAUGAAAGACAGUAAUAUACAGAAUAUAAAGUAAAAUAAACUAAUAAAGAUGCAUUUAAAUAGUGAAAUCAUUAUUUAAAUAGAGGGGGAAAGGUUUUAUAAUAAUGCAGACAUUUGUUAUAUUUUCUGUUGUUAAUUUAAAGUAGUGAUUUCAGUCGGGACUUUAACUCUAGAUUAAAAAUUGAUUCAAUUAAUCCACGCUCGUUUGUUUUGAUUUGGAGGCGGACGUGAAGUGACGAUUUACGUUUAAUUUCGCACUACAUUGUGGUAUACUGAAACUCCAUACUGAAUAGUACGUACUGCCUACUGAACUGUGACAAUUCGGAAAGGGCCUAUGAAACGUUCCCUCAGUGUGUUUCAGCUCCUCAGUCCUUCGUCUGCUGCAGCGGCUUAACUCAUCCAGCAGGGGGCGCUAAAUCAUGCUUGAUUUGUCGUGACACCAACAUUUACAUUUUGAUUAGAUUCUUAUAAAAAUGUAAGGAUACAUGUUUGAAGCUUCAAAAAUAAAACUUCUUGACAUCAAAUGUUGGUAAUUUGUUGUUUUCAAU